ACAUAAAUCAUUUUCUUUACGUUGUCGAACAUGUUACAAUUGAAACAUCAUGAGUCCGAUUCUCCUUUCCUGGAGGUUGUGUUCUUUCAAUAAGAGGAUGCAAGUAUUUUUUUUCCCGUUGCAACGCACGAGCAUAUAUAUAAAUAUAAAAAGCUAGCCACUAUCCUAAUUAGUAACAGAAUCUAUAAUACUUAAAUAGUUCAUCCCCACUAUCCUAAUUCUCUUAACAUGCAGCCUAUCCACAUCAUCACACAUGCCCCACAAAUACCACCUAUGAAAAAAGUCCACAAUUCAGUUUUUUUGAGCAUUUUCUAACGCGCCAGUUAAUUGCUUCUGGGCACGCUCGUGUCUUUUCCCCUGAAGGCUGGCCCAUCACAACGCUCGCUGGGACUCCUUUUCAGCCGAAGCGUUUUCUAUUCUAAAGAAAACACAGCAGCGUUUUCUCUCCAUACGAUUCCCCUCAUCGCAGCGGCGCCGUUUAAAGUCUUUUCCAUGGUGGUCAGCCUCGCUACCUACUAUCUUCUCCACAACUGCAUCUCUCCCUCUUCACCUUCUCCAGCCUAAAUUAAAUUCCACUACUCUCAUCAUCAUACAUAAACAGACGUAUUUACUUCUUCCUGCUCAUGCAAGCGUAACUGAUGCAGUUCCUUCCCCCUUUAAUCUGUGGAGCUACUUGCGCCCCUGGCUGAGAGUCGUCGGGUUUUGCCUUGGAUAAUCGGCGACACCCACCGCCUGAUGGUGCCCAGUGUGUUGGCCGGUACACAUCUGCACUCUCGAUGUGUCGUUUCCUCUCUGUAUCUGAAUCCCCACGCAACCUCCUCAUCGUGUCUACAGGUGUUAUUACAUCUACAUAUGGAGGAACAGAGGGCAUUAUGCGUAUAUGGAUUUUGUUCUUGCAAUAAAUAGCCAGAGGUAGGAAGCAUCCAAGGCACGGUUACAUCUGCACCCUCGACGACGUCUGAAACCUGUUCCGAUCCCCUCUGUUCAAGGUAC